rnacentral:lncRNA from 1 species
GUUUCAUUAAGUUUUGAGCAUUUUGAUAUUUUGGAAAUUUUUGGUGUAGUUUCCAUGGCAACAUAGUAGGUCCAAUGUGUGCAAAAAAUCAUCCAACACCUGUAUAUAGUGGGCACCUACAUUGUAUUAAAAUAUGAUGAUUCUGAGUGUAAGCAUAUUCAACAGUUCACCAAAACAAAAAACAGAAAUUUUUCACAUUUGUUUCGUUCCCAUGGCAACGGCAGCCAUCUUGAUGAUGCCAUACCUCACUGCACUAUAGAAUGUGGUGGUCAACAUUAUGGUAUAGUUCCAUCAAUAUUGUUAAAGCCAAUUCUGAGAAAUAGUAUGGACAAAAAAGUGUGGAAGAAUAAAUAUAAAAAUAAUAAGACAAAAAGAAACGAACAAUAACAAUAUGUCACCCCAACUCCGUUGAGGGUGCCAUAACUAGAUUUGCGAUUGCAAGCAAUAGCGGAUGGCACCCUUUCCCCAUUGCCAGGCCAGCGGCAGCCAUUUAGAAAAUUUUUGCUGUUUCCAUGGCAACGGCGGCCAUUUUGAAAAUUCGAAACUCAAAAGUUAAGUCUACAUAAGCUAGGCAAAAUUUGUUAUAAGUUUUAUUAAAUUUAAAGCAUUUUGAAGUUUUUCAUAAUUUUGCUGUUCCCAUGGUAACGGCGGUCAUUUUGAAUAUUCCAAAGUCAAACCCCCGCUGCAAUUUUUUCCCUCCAUAAUCAUAUAUACCAUCAUAUACCAUUUAAUGUCUCUAGAAUAAAUUUAACAUUGAUGUUCUGGAAUGUUCUGUGAAAAUUUAAAGUUUUGACCUUUUUGCAUUGUUUCCAUGGUAACUACAGAUAUUUUGGAAAUUCCAACGCCAAAUUCCACAUCUUCCAAUGUUGCUCAUCGUUACUGUGAAGUUUCAUGAAGUUUGGAGCAUUUUGAUAUUUUUGAAAUUUUUGGUGUAGUUUCCAUGGCAACAUAGUAGUCCAAUGAGUGCCAAAAUCAUCCAACACCUGUAUAUAGUGGGCAC